UCCCGUGUAGCUCAGUUGGUAGAGCAGCUGACUGUUAAUCAGCGGGUCGCUGGUUCAAGUCCAGCCACGGGAG
rnacentral:tRNA from 1 species